UAUAUUUUUUAUUUGAUUGGGGGAAGUCGAGUUGGGGCGUUCUCCUUCUCUCUCGCUACCAAAUUCCUUGUGAUGUUGACGGUGAGUUUAGCGGCUGUGACCGGUGGAAACGGUGCUCCGACGCGGCGGAGAAGAUUUACGGAGUAAAGACAUGUUGAAAGGUUCCUGGUCCUGGGAGCAGGGGGAAUAUCAGAAUAUGUGAUGAAAAUGAGGGCAUUGAAAAAUGGUAACUUGUUAAUGAAUGUGGGGGAAGCUGAAGGAAGCAUUGCCUUACUAUGAGAAGGUUAUGGACUGAUUAACCUGCCAGGCAAGCAUUUCAAUUUAAACAACUCACCUACAAGUUGUUGCUGGAAAAAUGCACACAUAAUAUGUUGGAGAGUGUUCAAAAGAGUUUGUUGCUAGCAUUUUUCAAUUGUCUAUAGUAUGUUUAUCUUUGAUGUAUCUCAAUGACAUACUAAAAGAGAUCGAUGUAAUUUUUUUUUUUAAAUAUGAUCUACGUGAUAUAGCUCUCAAUUAAGCGGUGAUGAAUUUCAAGAUCCAAUUA